AACGGAGACAGGCCGGCUAGAGCGUAACAAGUGUCAAGACAACUCCAGUUUGCUUGUCAACAAAGAAAACAUGCAACACUGAGCCCGUACACGUAAGUUAUUUUCAUUCGGGAAACUUGAAAUUAUCUGUUCCUCAAAGCUCACAAUUUUUCUAAGCUUCACUCGAACUACUUAUACAACCUCUGAGCAUAUUUUGCGAAAAAUGGAAGCUGUUGUUGUACAUUCAUGUUUCAGAUAUUCUUGGGAAUGCUUGCGAAGAGUAUCUAGAACAAUCGAGCAUCUAAUCACGUACCCUUGGACACAUUAGAUCCAAGCGAUUGAACAAAGAUUCUAAACUCCCUCGACAAUUUAAAUUACAUCAUAGCGUGCACGCAAGGUCUACCUAUUUCCCAAGGCCUACCGCGGUAAAAAAAUCCUUAUGUACAGUACGACCGUGCAUCCAUCACAUGACAAGUAUAGCCGCGAGGUUUCAAAACUUUCGAGAUUUUUUCCCGCUCUAUCCCGAUUGAGAUAGAUAUGGUAGGGUAAGGUAAGGUAUAAACUUUAUUUUACCAGAGUGGGCCAAUCAGCCGUUAGGCUGGUAUCCAGAGGGGCCCAGAGCAGACCUUUUGGAGCUCAAAAUGAAAAUAAACAUGUAAGUAAUACUAAUUUCGAAAAACAAUGAACAUCUAGUACUUUCAAGCGACGAAAUUAGUCUCAAACGCGAUGCGAAUCAUGGCUGAAAAAAACAAAACUAAGCUUUCUGACUUCAACUGAGGCUCUGCGAUGUCGGGUAAUCUUCAUUAAACGGUAUUUUGAAGUGUUGAUAUGUCUUAAAAGUGUUGUUAGUGUUGUUCAAUGAUUUGAAAUCGUACAAUUUUUAGAAUUUUCAUCAAAUUUAGUGCUACUUACAAUUUAUGCGUUUGUUUGUUUAUUUAUAAGCGAAUCUUUCGGUACUUUUACAAAAUAAAAAUUCUAAAUCCAAUCAAAUUUUAUCCAACUACUUUCUGCUACCUUGAUUUAAUUUAUUAAUUUUAUUAUCCUAUCUCAUGAAAUUUCCUUUAAUCUUCGAUUUGAUAAGUAAGACCAUCAGCUUGCUUUUCUUUUGAAUAUUUUUAUUUUUACUUUACUGGUAGGCUCUAAAAACAAAUGUGAUUAACAUUUUACUAAUAAAACACCCUGCCUUUGGUCUAUGAUACAUAGCAAUGAGAAAUGAUCUAACAAGAAUCUCUCAAUGGAUUUGUUGGCUACGAAUACUUAUUCACCUUUGAAAUUCUCAGCUAAAUGACGUUGUAUAUUUAUACUCAAGAGUUGUUAUAUUUUUAUCCUUCUCCCCCCAUCCAUCCUCCACUAACUUUAUUCCUUUCCUUAAUUUGUCUCUUUGUUUGUUUGUACCAUGAAUAAUGUUUGCACGGAAAAAUCUGCUUGUGAUAAGGCUGUUGGUAUCUGUGAUCAAGAAGAGGGAAUGGAAUGCAACAUAGACUGCUGUUCAGAAGACCUGGCAACGGUGAUGAUAGAAAGUGACUUGGCAGGUUUCGAGACAUCUUCGUAGCCUCAGAGGAGCAUUACUUAUUGUGGUUGAUGCUCAGUUGACUGCUUUCCGAAACUAUGAAAAUCAUAAAGGGAGAGGAAGUUUUCCUCUCUACCUUAUUUAGAAAUAUGUAACGCAAAGAAGUUUAGUCUAUUUACCUCUUCGUAGCAUACAUAAAGCAGUGAAGAUUAUAUAAAAUGCUUUAACUUAUUCCAUAGUCGCACUAAGAGUUGUUUGUUGUGUUACAGAAUGUGACCUCAUGCAUGCAUGUAUUCAACAGUGGACUGUUGAAUUAAUUAAGUUGUGAUAAACGUUCCCGGAUCAUCUUCUUCUUUCGGGAUUAACCUAACUGACUCGUGUGUUCUCCGUGCAAUCCGUUUUUAUUCCAUCCCAUCCCAUCAUGACAGAAGGAGCGAAUUUAACACAGUGUAUAUUUUCAAUGUCCUGUUUGGUAAUGUUCCUGAAUUGAAGUCAUUGCAUUCCUUGUUUGUUUUGUGUGCAGAAUCAAGUUCUUCGAGUGAGAAGUUUCAAACGUCGAUUGUACCCAGGCCAACUGUGUAAUAUCGGUCUUCGAACUACACAAGUAAUUCUUACCGUGGAUUUGAAUGGCCGGUCAUGUGGAAUUCUCGCUGGAUUGAUUCCUCCACGUCAGAACUUUUAUGGAAUUUGAUUUAGAUAAACUUAUAGUACAACUAUCUGGUUUUAAUGAGGCAAAGUCUCGAAGCAAGGAGACGUGGUUUCGUCGGAUAAUCGAGCGAUUUUCGCGGAGAGUGGAUCAGUCGGUUGCUUUUACAAAGCCUUCCUCCCUUUAUUUCUUCGGACAGUAGUGGGAUGAAUCUCGAGGAAAUAACCUGGAGCCGCCACCAGAGAACAAAAAUAACACAAGUAACGCUAUCUGAAGGUUAGAAUUUAUUUGCUGUAUUACUUACGGGGUUACAGAGCGGAGCUUUACAAUAUUAUCCUCUCACAAAGAGCUUGGGCCCCCGUGCUGUCAUGCUACACUCUAGGAUUUCAACUGUUGUCCACGCGGAGGCGGUUUGCGCCCAGAAAAUCCAUCUGAUUGACUAUUUUUUAACCCUCAGUUUAC